rnacentral:lncRNA from 1 species
CUGAAAUGUUUUAGCAGAAUCACUCUGGCUGCUGUGCUGAAGACAGAUGCAUAGCUAGAUGAGGGGUGAUGUCAAGGGCAGAAACAAAUGUCUCUCAGCAACAGCCCAAGAAUAACCAAAGGAGAAGAAGAUGGCUUGGACCAGACCACAGAAGAAAUCCAGAAUCCAGUCAUGUCUCAGGAUGCCUGAUCUACCUUUCUCGCUCACCUGGAAGUUUCAGGAUCUUUGUAACGAAUCUCACAGUUUCUACCCUUGCUUUUGUCCACCCAUGCCCCACUCCCUAUCGUUGUCUAUUCUCUGCCCAGCAGCCAGAAUGAUCCAUUUUAAAUAUGACAGAUCAUCUGCAUUUCCUGUAUAAAACCCUCUGAUGGCUCUCAUCUCACUCACACAACCUCCAGAGUUCUCACUGUGGCCUUAAGGCCCUGUGUGAUCUGGUUCUAUUACUCCCCAGCUUCAGCUUCUUGUCUCCUUCUCCCGGUACCAACUCCAGCCUGGUCACC